rnacentral:lncRNA from 1 species
GGAAGCACUGUGCUCAGCAGUCCCCAGCUGUGGCCUCCAUCCAGCCUUGUGGCAGCCUGGGAAGUGCUCCUGUUUCCAUCUCUCUAUAAGAAACUGAAGGCCAGAGAGGCUCAAGGACUUGCUCAGAUCUGAGUAGAGAAGAUGGGAUGUGAACCCAGGACCGCCUGACUCUGCACCCCAGGGCUUUAAACCAUGUUUCUGAGCGGCCCCAGCAUGCUACCCACCCCGGCCCUGACAGGGAGGGCAGGGAACGUGUUGUGUUAACUGGGGAGUGGAAGGGAAGACCUGCUCCUCCAUUCAUCCUCAACUCCUGAGCUUGGCCCCAAGGAGACACUGCAUGUGUCUCCAAGUGUGGAUGAAGGACCCUGAGCAUCAGGAUGUCCAGGAAACGAGACAAAAAUGCACAUUCCCGGGCCUCACCUCGCCUCCACUGACCCUGAAUCUCUGGGUAGCUGAUACCUUCCCCAGUAGCACAGAUGCCUGAAGAACAAGAGCUCUCCUAUGGACUCAUACCCUUUAGGAGCCCAAAUUGAGCAGGUCCUUGUGAGUCCACUGCACGCUGACCCUAUUCCAAGUUCAUGGCUCCAACAUGAGAAACACAGUUCUAGAGGCGGACAGUGCAGAGUCCCAGUCCCUGGACUAAUUCUAUGACCCUGGCACAUCACUUCAUCUUUCUGGACAUUUAUAAAAUCCAUAAAAAGGAGCUGAUCAUUGCUUCACUGUAGGAUUGUCACAGGAUUACAUGAAACCCAGCGCCCAGUGCUCCAUGGAUGCCGUCCGAGCUAUGGUGCUGCUCUGAUCAACUUUCAUUUUUGUGUUGGCCCAGUGUCAUUGUCCUCACAAGAAGCCCCAUGAAAGCAGGAAUUUUCUUUUGUCUGCUGUGGAAUCACCAGCAUUUAGCAUCUGGAACAGCUCAGGCUCCAGGAAUGUUUUCAGUAAAUGAAUUCAUGAGAAGAUGGAUGUCUUAGAGUCUGGGAGAAGCUAGAGUAUAGUUUCAAGGAGCUGAUGACAGCCUGGAAGGAGAAGGGAGAUGAGGGACUGUGUGGUCCACAAAGUGCUUUGAAAAAUAUUCCUGCCUGAAGAUGGGAUCAUCAUCCCCAUUUCAAGGUAAAGAAACUGAGGCUGAGAAGGGAGAAUCAAAUUCACUCAGGAUGCUCUUUGAAAAACACUGUUGAAAAAAUGAAAAUACAAACACGGUUUCCAGUUACCAAGACAAUCUUCAAAUAGUCUCACAUAUUGUCGUUCAUUCAUGCCCUUGUACAAUGUCCUCCUAGAUUGAAUAGGGCUGACCUGUGUUAACCUAAACAGGUUUUUGUAGAAAUGACCAUGUGUGACUUCUGAGGCUAGGUCAUGGCUAGGCCUGGUUUUCUCUUAGGUGCUCACUCAGGGGGAAGCCAGCAGCCAUGUUGUAAGGAUGCUCAAGCAGUGCUCUGGAGAGGCCCGUGUGGAAAGGAGCAGAAGCCUCCUGCCAGUGACCAGCACCACAUGAAUGAGCCCCUUUGAAGGCAGAUCCUCUGAACUUAGUCAAGCCCUCAGAUGACUGCAGCCCUGGCUGGUACCUUAACUGCAAACUCAUGAGAGACCCCAAGCCGGGACCACCUAGCUGAGCUGCUUCUGAAUUCUUGGUCCACAGAAAGAAUCUGUGCUGGGAUGCUGGCUGGAAUGAGAGCUGGGGAGCCUGAAGUAUGCCCCGUGCCUGUCAGUUAAACAGUGAGGCAGCCCCUCUGAGACGGGUUCCCGAGUGCUGGAGAGCAGGACCGACAAGAUAAUUAAAUGUAUAUUGAAGACUCAGAGGCGGUGAGGGAGCCAGCAGCUGGCGAGAUGGAGAAGGGCUCCUCCUCAGAGAAAGCUGUCUGCAUACCAGGCUGAGAAAACAGAGACUAGCAAUGGAGCCCCGGAACUUCCCGGAGGAAGAGGCUAUGGAGCGUUACUUGCAUAGUAACCCUACUGUUUUCAUUUCGGUGUCGAAGUUCACAGUCCAGAGCCGGUGGGGCAGCUCUACCGUCAUCAGAGACCAGGGUCCCUUCUAGGUCAUGUCUCAGUUUCUCAUGCACACGGCUUCCAAUUCAAGAUACAAAAUGGCUGCUCCAGUUCCGACCAUUACAUCUGCAUUCCAGCAAGUGGGAAAGAAUAAAGGGGCAAGGAAUGGGCUUGCCUCUUCCCUUUCAACAGCAUGAUUUGGAAAUGGCUCAGACCACUUCCAUUCGUAUCACAUUGGC